UACGUAGGUGGCAAGCGUUGUCCGGAUUUACUGGGCGUAAAGGGCGUGCAGGCGGUUUGUUAAGUGCAGGGUGAAAGCUCCCGGCUCAACUGGGAGAGGUCCUUGCAUACUGGCAAACUCGAGGGAGGCAGAGGAAAGUGGAAUUCUCGGUGUAGCGGUGAAAUGCGUAGAUAUCGAGAGGAACACCUGCGGCGAAGGCGGGUUGCUGGGCUGACACUGACGCUGAGGCGCGAAAGCUAGGGGAGCGAACGGG
rnacentral:rRNA from 1 species